CUAUCCUGCACGGCAACCGAAACAGGAAUACCCUGA
rnacentral:sRNA from 1 species